GCCUCUGAUCUGAGCACACGAGGGAAACAAAUUGACCAGGAGGUAAAAGAGGCAAGGGAGAGCCUAGUCACGUCCAUAUCCAGAAAGAACAGGCAGAAAUGACCAUGGACUAAAGGGACCUUCACGCUUUGGAGCUACUGAAGUUGAGACCAGUGGUACCUCAGGCCCCACGAUGGCGUAAUGGAAGUUUCUGGUGUUUCCCUGCCGGUUUCUUCUCAGGUAAUCAUGGCCUUAGGUCCACCAGUGAAUUACUACUAUCCUCAUCUUGGUGGGAUGGCCUUUCUCUGAGUUAAGGGCGGUCUUCAUUUCCUCUCUCCUCCUCCUCUCUUCUCCUCCUCCUCCUCCUCCUCCUCCUCCUCUUCCUU